CGGCGGACGGGUGAGUAACACGUGGAUAACCUACCUAUAAGACUGGGAUAACUUCGGGAAACCGGAGCUAAUACCGGAUAAUAUUUUGAACCGCAUGGUUCAAAAGUGAAAGACGGUCUUGCUGUCACUUAUAGAUGGAUCCGCGCUGUAUUAGCUAGUUGGUAAGGUAACGGCUUACCAAGGCAACGAUGCAUAGCCGACCUGAGAGGGUGAUCGGCCACACUGGAACUGAGACACGGUCCAG
rnacentral:rRNA from 1 species